CCCAGACCAAAAAAAAAAAAUCCAGGGGCAGGGGAGUGGCAGUGGUGGUGUUGCCCCUGGGGGCCGCUUCUUCUCAAACGUGCAGGACAAAGCGCUGCUGCGGCGGUCCCCAGAGCCUUCGGACCGCGGCAGGUUCCUGCACCAAGCGCAGAUCUAAGGGUCGGCCUCCAGGGUCACUGACACUCGCGGUCAUCGGAGAGGCUAGGGGCCUGCGGGAGAGAGCCGGUUGGGUCUUCUCGGAGUCAACUGCCAUCCCGGGGGCAACGGACUGACACCGAGAGCGUGUGCGGCAGCCUGGAGGCCAAACACUGGCACCUCCAUCUCGGUUGCCGAGGCCUUUACGUCCGCCCGGCUCCUCCCCCUCCGUUUCGGACGUUACUAGCAGCGGUUUCUAAAGGGGCAAAGGGCAGAAAUGCUUGGGAUGGGCUUGGGGUCCCCAGUCUGGAAUGAAAUCCACACGCGGCUCUGUCUCUGUGGGCGAGAGGCCUGGGGCCGGUGCGUCGGGUGCAGGUGGAGUCGCGCAGCAGCGCCUCUGGGGACGCGCUGCGUUCCAUUUUUCCUUGCAGAGUCCCGCAGCCUGGGCCCGAGAAAUGGAGGCUCUGACUCAGCUCAGAUAAGGAACCAGACUCAGGACGCCUCUUCAAGAACUGGAGAGACACCGGCUCGGGACUCGCAACCGGAGCCUGCGUGGCUGGGUCCGCGGCCGCCGCCUCUGCUCCCGCAGUGCCGGGAGCGGCCGCCGGGUGUCGCUAUGGUGCCCAGCGCGCCUCGCCCAGGCUGGCCCUUCCCUGCCGCGCCCAGCCCCGCCCCACGAAAAGCGAAAGCGGCGUCGGCGGGGGACGCGGAACCGACCACCGAGCGCGGAUAGGGGGGGGCCGGGAGCUGUAGGCGGGCUCCUGCCCGCGGCUUCCGGUUCGCCUCCCCUCAACCGGCCUCGCGCGGUGGUUUGCUCCAGCCGCGGCGCUUGCUGGCUCCCAAGCUGCUGGCGGCGGGCAGCGGCGUAGCGGCUCCGGCUGGCAUCCGCAUAGCAGGCUCCGCCGCACGCCGCGAUGUUGGGGCUGCUGGUGGCGUCGCUGGCCCUGGCACUCUCCUUCUUCGCGCUGCUGGAUGGCUGGUACCUGGUGCGCGUGCCGUGCGCUGUGCUGCGCGCGCGCCUGCUGCAGCCGCGCGUCCGCGACCUGCUGGCGGAGCAACGCUAUGCGGGCCGCGUGCUACCUUCGGACUUGGAUCUGCUGCUGCACAUGAACAACGCGCGCUACCUGCGCGAGGCUGACGUUGCGCGCGCUGCGCACCUGACUCGCUGCGGUGUGCUUGGGGCGCUGCGCGAGUUGGGGGCGCACGCCGUGCUGGCCGCCUCGUGUGCGCGCUACCGCCGCUCGCUGCGCCUGUUUGAGCCCUUCGAGGUGCGCACGCGCCUGCUAGGUUGGGACGACCGCGCCUUCUACUUGGAGGCGCGCUUUGUCAGUCUGCGCGACGGCUUCUUGUGCGCACUGUUGCGUUCCCGGCAGCACGUGCUGGGCACCUCGCCCGAGCGCGUCGUGCAGCACUUGUGCAAACGCAGGGUGAGCAGCCCCCGGACCCGUGGCACGACCCCAGGGGCUCCUCGUCUCCGACCUUCUCCCCCAGGGAAGGCCAGCCAUCUGUUUCUCCUGGAGUACCACGCCCAGCACUGUACCCUUUCUUGCCUUUAACUGAGGGCUCAGGGCCUUCCUCACCCGUGCCCAUGUUCUGGGGGUCCCAGGGUCCCAGGAUCAACUCUUCACAGUCAGGCUUAGCCAUUCCUGAGCUCAGCCCCUCACGGUUUUCCUUACCCAUUACCCCUUCAAAAACAGAUGUCAGACCAGGCCUCUGACCGGGAGUCCAAGUCUUGGUACUGGUGGCCUGGAGUAAUGAGCCACCACCUCUGGUUCUUGGUUCUGAACAUGGGAUGGAUAAGGCAGUUAAAGGUGGUUGCUGGAAGUUUGGGGGGACCUGAGCCUCCCUUUCAUACAGCUUAGAGCUAAAGGGCUUGGUCCUGAUGGGGUUGGACUGACCCUGGAAGGCCGCAGCUUUUCUGCCUUCCACAGUUGGAGAAGGGAGGCCUACACCUUCCUGGGCUGAAGGCCCCUCCCAGGGCCUGCUCCAUGGCAGCAGGCUGCUGCAGCCAGGCAACCUUGGCCCAGGGGAUGGCCAGGGCAGUCAUGGUUGCCAAGAUGGUUUCUGCCACAGACUGUCUCCUGAAAGAUGCCAGGGUCUGCUCACCCUCGUGCACCCUCUCGCAUCAGACAGGCACCUCCAGAGCACAGGAGAGACAGUCCCACCCUUAUUGGGUGCAGAGAAAGUGGUACUGCCUAGGGCUGCAGAAUGACCACACCCUUGGUUUUAUCUUUAUUGAGGUGACUCCCAAAUCAGUACUAGAAGUGAGAGCAACCCCAGCCCCAGCCCUGCCUGGACUAGCCCUGUGAGUGGGACACUUUGUCCUGGCCCAGUCCACCGUGUGGCUGCUUGUCCUGAGGUGGGGUGGGCACCUGCUCCUCCCUUCAUUCUGGCAGCUCUUGAAGCCCUGCAAGGCAUCUGACCUCAUCCAUGAGUGUGCAGGGAGGGAUGGGGACACAGUGGACAGGCCCAGAGCUGACCUGGGAGAUUAAGUUGGGUCUUCUUGGUGCUUGACGAACAGAAGGGCUCCCAGAAAGCCUCUGCCCCGCACGCUGUCUUCUAAUGGCCUCCAGGAUUCCACCUGGCUCUGGGGAGGCAGGCCUGGCAGAGGCGGGGUUGUAUCUAGAGAGCUAGGUUGUAUCUCUGAGCUCAGAGGGGCCUGGGGAUUGAGUAGGCAGGGGCCUCAUGGAAGGUCACAUGCCUGGGAACAGCAUGGGCAGAGGCCCAGUGACGGGAGGGCAGCAGCCUGGCUGGUACAGGACCCUGGGCUGUACCCCUCACUCAUCCCCAUAGCAGCAGGUGGAACCCCCGGAGCCUCACCCUCCUGUCCUGCAGGUGGAGCCCCCUGAGCUGCCAGAGGACCUGCAGCACUGGAUCACCUACAAUGAGGCCAGCAGCCAGCAGCUUCGGGCUGAGAGUGGACUCAGUGAUGUCAUCAAGGACCAGUGACCGACGCUUCCUCCACUGCCUGCCCAUCAGCUUCCGCCUAGGGGCAGUUGGUUAUCUACCCAGCUGGUCAGUUGGCCUUUCCCACAAAAUGAGCAGGCCAGGCUGGGCUCCAGCUGGAGUGACCUUGUGACCACCAUAGUCCCCUUCACCUGCUUGACACCCUCUGCUGGGCCCCAUGCUGGACACAAUGGAGUGGCAUUGGUGCCUGACCCAGUUUUGCCUGCUAGUUGGGGAUGGAUGGGCAGAGGGGCCCUGAUCGUCCCUGUAGUAAGGCCACUAUCCCAUAGUUCCAGGUAGGGGAUGUACCUGGAGCAGAGGGACAGCAGGAGUGGCCAGAGCAGUGCUGGGCAUGGGCUCUGCGCCUGGCCCUCUGCAGGGACAGCAUUGUAAGCCUGCUCCCUCUGGCCCCCAGUAAGGCUCGGGCUCAGGAGGGGAGUAGAGUCGGGGUGGUGGUGGAAAGUACUUGGGAGGGAACGUUCCCAGGAUGUUUUCUGGUGGCAGGGGAUGCUGUGUAGGCGGGUUGGGCCACCUUUGAGCUUAGGGUCAGGCUGGCAGGGCAGGACUUGUCCAAUUCCUGCAGAACAUGAGACCAGGAGUUGCCCCAAGUUCCCAGCUGGCCUCCCUGCCCUGCUGGCCCAUGAGCCUUGCACCUGCCCCAGAGAACAGGGUCCCCUGGUGCAGCGUUGGUCUCCUGCCUCUCCUUCCAGGCUGGGUUGGAGGGCAGGGCAGGCAACUGGGGUUUGUGGCCCAAAGGUUCCCAGAAGGGUUGCUGGGAGUGUUCUGGUUAGGGAGGGAACAGCUGGGGGGGUAUUCUGCAAGGGCACCCUCAACUACCUGCACCCAUCCGUACCCACUAGGCCUGUGCUACCUCAGGCUGAAGCCUGCCCUCUCUGGGCCAACAGCACCUCUCUCCCCCAAUUGUGCCUGCCCCAUACCCUGCCCCACUCUAAGCGCUCUCCCUGCAUGGACUGGGGUCAGGGAAGGGUCUUGCAUUCUCUGUGAUAUAGGUCCCUGGGCAGCUGCUCUCAGGCCUUCCUAGGGGACACUGGAAGCUGGCUCAGGCUGCCUACUCCUGCCUAAUCCCUUACCUUACAAUGGGGGAAACUGAGGCCUGGGUCAACCCAGAGCUGCUGAGAAAACCCAGGACCAAGUGGGGCUGGUCCCGAGGCUCUGGCCACGCCCUGUCUAGCUGGGGUACUGAGGCCAGGAGCGCUGGGUGUGGGGAUCUCUGUUUGCCUGCUCCGGGAACCCCCACACCUGCCCUGCCAGCCCAGGGUCAGGACAUCACUGGAAGGCCAGAACUGCCUCCCCCAGGAGCUGCCACCUCCUGCCCCAUGCUGCCCUUCUGGCCAUAGCUGCACCUUUUUGUCUUAAUUAAAGAAAGCACAAGAUUAAAGAGUUUUAAAGGUGUGUGUGCUGGGAAAACUGGUU
rnacentral:lncRNA from 1 species